rnacentral:rRNA from 1 species
GAUGAACGCUAGCUACAGGCUUAACACAUGCAAGUCGAGGGGCAGCGGGAUUGAAGCUUGCUUCAAUUGCCGGCGACCGGCGCACGGGUGAGUAACGCGUAUCCAACCUUCCGUACACUCAGGGAUAGCCUUUCGAAAGAAAGAUUAAUACCUGAUGGUAUGAUGAGAUUGCAUGAUAUCAUCAUUAAAGAUUUAUCGGUGUACGAUGGGGAUGCGUUCCAUUAGGUAGUAGGCGGGGUAACGGCCCACCUAGCCAACGAUGGAUAGGGGUUCUGAGAGGAAGGUCCCCCACAUUGGAACUGAGACACGGUCCAAACUCCUACGGGAGGCAGCAGUGAGGAAUAUUGGUCAAUGGACGAGAGUCUGAACCAGCCAAGUAGCGUGAAGGAUGAAGGUCCUACGGAUUGUAAACUUCUUUUAUAAGGGAAUAAACCCUCCAACGUGUGGGAGCUUGUAUGUACCUUAUGAAUAAGCAUCGGCUAACUCCGUG